UGAGGAAUCUUGCGCAAUGGGGGCAACCCUGACGCAGCCACGCCGCGUGCUGGAAGACGGCCCUAUGGGUUGUAAACAGCUUUUAGGUGGGAAGAACCCGGGGUGUUCGCACCCCGCUGACGGUACCACAAGAAUAAGCACCGGCUAACUCCGUGCCAGCAGCCGCGGUAAUACGGAGGGUGCAAGCGUUGUCCGAAAUUAUUGGGUGUAAAGGGUGCGCAGGCGGAAGCCUAAGUCGAGGGUGAAAUACGGCCGCUCAACGGUCGCAGUGCCCCCGAUACUGGGUUUCUUGAGUCCGGAAGAGGCUGGCGGAACUGGUGGUGUAGCGGUGAAAUGCAUAGAGAUCACCAGGAACACCGGUGGCGAAGGCGGCCAGCUGGUCCGGCACUGACGCUGAGGCACGAAAGCGUGGGGAGCGAACAGGAUUAGAUACCCCCGUAGUCC
rnacentral:rRNA from 1 species